rnacentral:rRNA from 1 species
CAGCAGUGGGGAAUAUUGGACAAUGGGGGCAACCCUGAUCCAGCCAUGCCGCGUGAGUGAAGAAGGCCCUAGGGUCGUAAAGCUCUUUCAACUGUGAAGAUAAUGACGGUAGCAGUAGAAGAAACCCCGGCUAACUCCGUGCCAGCAGCCGCGGUAAUACGGAGGGGUUAGCGUUGUUCGGAAUUACUGGGCGUAAAGCGCACGUAGGCGGACUAUUAAGUUAGAGGUGAAAUCCCCAGGGCUCAACCCUGGAACUGCCUUUAAUACUGGUAGUCUUGAGUUCGAGAGAGGUGAGUGGAAUUCCGAGUGUAGAGGUGAAAUUCGUAGAUAUUCGGAGGAACACCAGUGGCGAAGGCGGCUCACUGGCUCGAUACUGACGCUGAGGUGCGAAAGUGUGGGGAGCAAACAGGAUUAGAUACCCUGGUAG